AUUAGCUUAGAUUUCACGUUAUUCAUGCCUACAUGAGCUGCAUACAACUGCUCUAUAAUCGGUAGGAUGUGGACGGACAUUGCAUUCAUUCCCAUUCAGCCGUUGGACUGAACCUGUACUGUCUGUAACACAGUAUGGAUGGUCAAUAUGAAGCGAGGUACUCCGUUCUGAUCAUUUUGAAGAUGGUUGCUUUGACAGGACUGGGCAAGUGACUCGUCUUAGACAGGAUGCUGUCCCAACCAUGUUUGAUUUCCUGCCUCGUCUUCAGAAGAAUUCACCCAAGCCAAGGAAUUCCCCGAAAGAAAGACGUUUUGAUUCAGCAAACAACCUCCCAGAUACUGCAAAGUCUUCAGCACCUUCAUUUCUCGAGGACCACUCCUACUCAAUAUCAGAAAGUCCAAGAGGGGUAAAGUGGAAGAUAACAGCAAUAAUGGACUGUAUUAAGAACUUGGAGAAGAGGCUGAAAAACACACACGAGAAGUCCCGCCGUGUACAUUACUUGCUCUUAAGUUUGGACAAACAUAACUUGCAAAACUUUACAACAAAUAAUUACCCCAA